GAUAAAGAAUCCUUUAAAUGGUUUGCGUUUUGCACAAAAAUUACUGCAAAAUACAGCUGUCUCAGAAAAUCAGAAACAAUUUCUUGAUACUAGUGAUGCUUGUGAGAGACAAAUUAUGACAAUUAUUGAGGAUGCGGAUUUUGGAAGUAUUGAUGAAGGAACUUUGCAGCUAAAAAUAGAAGAGUUUUUUCUGGGAAAUAUCCUAGAUGCCAUUGUCAGCCAAGUCAUGAUCUUGAUAAGAGAAAGAAACUUGCAGCUCUUUCAUGAAAUUCCUGAUGAAAUUAAAACGCUUACUCUAUUCGGUGACCAAAUAAGGCUUCAAGUGGUCUUGUCUAACUUUUUGAUCAAUUUGGUUUGCCACCACACCAUCUCCCAAUGGCUGGGUAGAAAUAAAGAUUUCACCUGGGCUGAAGAUAAUACAGGAUGGAAGUGAGUUUAUUCAUCUGCAGUUCAGAAUGACCCAUGCCGGUCAAGGUCUUCCUUCUGAAAUUCUUCAGGAAAUGUUUGAAGGUGGGAAUAAAUGGACUACACAGGAAGGUCUAGGGCUAUAC